GGGUGAGUAACGCGUAAGGAACUUGCCUCUUGGACUGGGACAACUGUUGGAAACGACAGCUAAUACCGGAUAUUAUGAGAUUCUCGCAUGAGAAAUUUAUGAAAGCUAUAUGCGCCAAGAGAGAGCCUUGCGUUCCAUUAGCUAGUUGGUGGGGUAACGGCCCACCAAGGCGACGAUGGAUAGCCGGCCUGAGAGGGUGAACGGCCACAAGGGGACUGAGACACGGCCCUUACUCCUACGGGAGGCAGCAGUGGGGAAUAUUGGACAAUGGGCCACAAGCCUGAUCCAGCAAUUCUGUGUGCACGAUGAAGGUCUUCGGAUUGUAAAGUGCUUUCAGUUGGGAAGAAGAAAGUGACGGUACCAACAGAAGAAGCGACGGCUAAAUACGUGCCAGCAGCCGCGGUAAUACGUAUGUCGCAAGCGUUAUCCGGAUUUAUUGGGCGUAAAGCGCGUCUAGGCGGAAAAAUAAGUCUGAUGUUAAAAUGCGGGGCUCAACUCCGUAUUGCGUUGGAAACUGUUUUUCUAGAGUACUGGAGAGGUGGGCGGAACUACAAGUGUAGAGGUGAAAUUCGUAGAUAUUUGUAGGAAUGCCGAUGGAGAAGUCAGCUCACUGG
rnacentral:rRNA from 1 species